AACUUCUGACGAGCGCAGGCUCGGGCUCAGGCUCCGACACGGGCUCUGGCCCCCGGCCUGGCUUGGCGGCCCGGCCGGGUCCCCUCGGCGCGGGAUGGGCACGGACCCUCAGCAUCAGCCGAGAUGGCAGGCGGGCUGGAGACCCCGAGGCCCGGUCACCGCCGCGCAGAGCGUGGCCGCCUCGCUGCUCCAGCACGGCUCGCCCAGGGCCGACUGGGGCGGCUUGGACCCCCCUCCCACCCACCCCACCCACCCACCCCUCCCCCACACCCCCGCCCCCUGCCCUUCCCGAGGGCAGCAGCCGCGGCCCGGAGAUAAGCGCUAGUGCGGCGCCGGGCUCUGCCUGGGCUAGUGGCACCGACUUGGGAAAAGGAAACGCCAAGACAUAGAAAACCACGCUUUUCCCGUAGGAAGAACCGAUGAUGAGCCCUGAUGAAAGAAGGAAGAAGACCCGCUGUCUGCGAAGGCCUAAAGGUUAGAAAUACAGCAAUUUUUCUCAUGCCGAAGGAAAGGCAAAAUGGUCUAAGAAACUGCAAGAGUGUGAUACAAGUUUUCCUCAACAGCGAGCUGGGACUGGCGACAAUUUCUUAACUCACAGCCUCCGCAGUCGCCUUAGUCGACAAAGAGAGCAGCCCACGCAGCGGCCGCCGCGCCCGUGCCCGUGGCCUUUACUUGCUUUUGCCCUGAAGUUCAGUGUAGUGGUUUGUUUGGGGCUUGCAGGAAGAAACAAACACACUCCCUCUGACUCUCCACAACCCAUCUUUGCCUUCUGCAACCGCUUCUCCUGCCCAUCGCUGGUUUUGGGGUAGGCUCUUUGUCUGCCUGAGGCCCCGCACUCGCAGGGCAAGAAGCUUAAAGGAAUCCAACUCCAAACUCCUCCGAAGUUAAAUAUUGACCAGAACCUCUUUCAACAGGCCGCGGUUGCCAGGAACCGUGGAGGGCCAACUCCUCCCAACCGCCCUGGUGCAAAGUCCCACGCGGCGAAGAGUUUUGGAGCAGCGCUUACCUAGAAAGAUGUUUAAAUUCUGAACCAGGAAUUGUCUCCAACUCCAGGCGCUCAGGGAAUCGCCUUUUCCGGUGUCCAGGCGCUCUGCAGACAAAUAAACAGCAGAAGGUGAAUGGCGGCUGCGAGGGAAGGGAGUUGGAGGCCGGGAGUGGGAAGCGAGGCUCAUGCGGGCGCCAAGGUGGCCCUGGGGGUGACGCGAACAUCAGGGAGUCACCAGGGCACUCGUCCGUGUGGCGCACUCAUUGCUCGAAAUGUUCCAGUCUACAAAUGGUCCGAAGAUGGUGAUUUAUUUUUGUAAAAUAAAUACAUACUCCAUCUCCACACCCAUACUUUCUCCUUUUUCUUUCUUUUUUUUGGCGGGGGAGUGGGGAAGGAAAGGACAUGAAGCAAACAGAGGAAGCUGAGAAGGUGGAAGUGGCUUUGCUGGUGGUGUGGGCUGCUUUCAGAGAGCUCUCUCCUCAGGCACCACAACUUGGAGAAUGUGAAUGCUUGCUUUAUUUUCCUUUCCUAACAAAAGGAAGCCUUGUCUGGGAGCAUUCAAUCACGGACUCUCCUGAAACCUCACUAAUAUGUGUUCAUUUCUGUAGGCGCGAAAUCAGACCCGGGUUCAUUCCACUGGCCAGAGGCAGUCUUGGGAGGAUUUGUGUUCUGGUUUAUUCAACUCUGGCAAAUGGUCACCGAGCCGGCAGUCAGCUUUCUGGGAGUGGGAGAUGAUGGGGAAAGAGGAAAGAAUCGUCCGCUCGCCGGACCCUGGCUUGGAGAAGUUCUGCGCUCCGCUGGGACUCUGCGGGCCCUUUGCGUCUACAGACCUAUCCCUGCCCCGACUACCCCUUCACUCAGACCCAGGGAAGGACACGUUUCUAUGCCUUACAGAGACUUGAAGCCUGAAAGCCUGGCCAAGUUUGGGAAGAAGAGGAGCCCUCUCAGAGCUCAAGAGCCUUCCUACUCUUUGGAACUUUUCCACAGUAGGCCAAGCUUGACAAGAGUUCAGCUCAAGUUGAACAUACAUACACACACUCUCACACACAAAUUAUGUGAGCCGUCAGAAUCCAAGUGAAUCCAGCUCAAGCUAUCUACAAGGUUUUUACAUGCAAGGUCAAGUAUCUCAAUCCAGAGGACUUUUGUUUUCUUAAUGAAAAGCUUAGAAAACACAUGAAUCUUAGAUUUUUAAUGUUUUUUAAAUGGAGUUUAUUCUUAGCACAUGGCUUUCUAUGUAGCCACAUCAC
rnacentral:lncRNA from 1 species